AUUGAACGCUGGCGGCAGGCCUAACACAUUCUAGUCGAGCGAGCGGCGGACGGGUGAGUAAUGUAUGGGGACUGCCCGAUAUAGGGGGAUAACUACUGGAAACGGUGGCUAAUACCGCAUACUAUCGGAUAACCCAUAUGGGAUUAGCUAGUAGUUGGGGUAUUUGCUCACCUCGUCCACGAUCUCUAGCUGGUCUGAGAGGAUGAUCAGCCACCAUGGGACUGCGACACGGCCCAGACGCCUACGGAGUCAGCAGUGGGGAAUAUUGCACAAUGGGCGCAAGCCUGAUGCAGCCAUGCCGCGUGUAUGAAGAAGGCCUUAGGGUUGUAAAGUACUUUCAGCGGGGAGGCGUUACCCGCAGAAGAAGCACCGGCAAAAUCCGGGCCAGCAGCCGCGGUAAUAC
rnacentral:rRNA from 1 species